rnacentral:rRNA from 1 species
GACGAACGCUGGCGGCGUGCCUAAUACAUGCAAGUUGAGCGAUGAAGAUUGGUGCUUGCGCCAAUUUGAAGAGCAGCGAACGGGUGAGUAACGCGUGGGGAAUCUGCCUUUGAGCGGGGGACAACAUUUGGAAACGAAUGCUAAUACCGCAUAACAACUUUAAACAUAAGUUUUAAGUUUGAAAGAUGCAAUUGCAUCACUCAAAGAUGAUCCCGCGUUGUAUUAGCUAGUUGGUGAGGUAAAGGCUCACCAAGGCGAUGAUACAUAGCCGACCUGAGAGGGUGAUCGGCCACAUUGGGACUGAGACACGGCCCAAACUCCUACGGGAGGCAGCAGUAGGGAAUCUUCGGCAAUGGACGAAAGUCUGACCGAGCAACGCCGCGUGAGUGAAGAAGGUUUUCGGAUCGUAAAACUCUGUUGGUAGAGAAGAACGUUGGUGAGAGUGGAAAGCUCAUCAAGUGACGGUAACUACCCAGAAAGGGACGGCUAACUACGUG